rnacentral:lncRNA from 1 species
AUGAAUAAAACAUGCACAUUUGGAUGUGAUUUCAGGCUAUGGGAGGGGUUGAAGAUGGACCUGGAAUGGAUGGGCCUAGUGACACUGGCGAGGCCGAGUGCAGAAGCGACAUUCAAUCAUUUUGAGAUGGACCCGAGCAUUUUGGUCUGCAUGGAGAGUUCAACUGAAGUGAAUCAGUAGCAGCUCUACUCUGCGACUCAUAUCUCAGUCUACUUUGAAAGAGUCUACUUCUUCUGCAAAUGGAGAGUUCAACACAACAAAGACACGACUGUUGCUGUCAGUCAUCCAGCUGGAGACAGGACUCACUUCCAAAGCAAAGAAAGGAUUUUCUGCAGAACUCCCGAUGCAAACCCCAAAGACAGCUAACCCCUUCUUCAGGACCAAGAACAGGUUAACUCCAGGCAGUCACUGCCCUUUGUCACCUGGCUACUCACUGGCGAGUCACUCAUGAACCAGAGACUCCCAAAACCCUCCCACUAACCACAUACACACACACACACACACACGUGUCGCAUGCUCAGCCGUCCUGGUAGGGGAUCUCUCUUUGACUUGGCCUACCUAAAGGUUUCUCCUUUUUCCCCUAAUAAGGGUUUUAAAGAGUUUUUCCUUUAAUGCUUGGAGAGUCUAAGGCUGAUGAUGCAAGACACACAAAUGUGUGAUAGUCUGAUGGGACCCAAAGUUGAGCUUUGUUUUCAUGUUAGUUUUAUGCUUUGAUAUUUUCAUGUAAUAAAAUGUAAAUGAAGUGACUAAAAAAAUGUAUCAUGUCUGAUUAACCAAGAGGUACGUGGGCAUUACAAAUGGUUUGACUCAAAGGUUUACAUGGUGGAGCAUGUCGUAGCAACUCAAGUAAUCAACUGAGUGUGAGGGAGCUAUUUCUGUAGGUACAAGCUUAUUGCAACCUCACAUCUUGUGCGCAUUAUUCAACAUUUCCAAACUUUUCAAAGUCUUAAUAUUCAUUUGUUAAUUCAAUUUAGCUUCAGUUCUUCUAAAUUCAGAAUCAUUCAAUUGUUC